CAUUCCCGGGCUGGGCAGUGAUUUUUUUUCUUUGUGUUGAAGCGGGUCUGGAGCGGUGGAUUGUCCACGGGAUCCGGAUCGGGAGAGGGUCCUCGCCCCCUCGGGCGGCGAGCCGGGGGGGCCGGUCGGAUCAUUCUCUGCGGAGCGGGACCGACAAGAUCCAUGCGCUAGAUCUGCAGUGAGAGAUUUAUUGGAAGAAAAGCCCACAACUGGAAGCAAACCACAACUGAAGACGAGGGAACAGCAACAAGUGAACCAGCCCGAGGACUGAGAGCACCGACUGGAGAGAACCCAUCUGACUCAGGGUUUCCAUUGAUUCAGUCAGGAGAAAGUUUGAGCAGCAAAAACUGAAAACUCCUGUCCACAAAAUCAUUUUAAUUUAUAAAUACUCUGCGGAUUCUCCGUCUGGGUUUAAUUCAAUAAUGGCAAUUCUCCAAAUAUUUGUGAAAACUGACCAGAGAGAUGAGAGUGAGAGAGUUGACAUCUUUGGGGAAAACACAGUCACACGUGGAAGGAGUACAGUUACCGUCUGCUCCUGCUCCUCUAACAUAUUGUGAUGCACAGUAAAAUAGCGAGUUACUCCAGAAGACAAGACAUUCUGCAGAUGCUGAAAGUUUUGGGCAACAAAAAGACACACAAAAUAUUGGCAGAAUUCAGCAGGUCAGGCAGCAUCCAUGGACAGGAAUAAACAGUCAACAUUUCAGAUCAGGACCACGGGGAACAGAAAGUAAUGUAACAAUAUCUAGAAUUUCUGUCCCCUCAUUUCCAGUCCGAUGAAAGGCCUUGGCCUGAAACGUUGAUUGUUAUUCUCCUCCAGAGAUGUUGCCUGAUCUGCUGAGUACCUCCAGUAUUUUGUGAGAUUUGCCAGAGAUUUGCUGAGGAAGGGUUUGACCAGGCAGGCAGACAGUAACCCAGAGCAAAGCAGUGGUGAUGGGCAGUACCAGGAGAGUGAUGGUGAUGGGUUACUAUAUUCUCAGCAAUAAGCAGAGUCCUUUCAAAACAGGGAGGUAUAUUCCUGGGGUCAUGAAAGAGCAGACUUCAACAGAUGGAACUAUACCACCUCCUACACCCCCGUCAACCCCUACCCUCCGGCCCAAACCCGUUCUCCCACAUAUAUAUUUCGGACUGUUUUGUUUUUUUUUUAAAUUUUUAUUGAGUUUUCAAAUGAUUACAGAAAGAAAAAAAAAAUAUCUACCCUUCCCCCCUCCCCUAACAUUCCUAUAGAAGAAAAUAAAAAGAAAAAGAGGAAAAAAGAAAGAAAGAAUGCCUGUAUAUCGGAAGAUCCCCACAUGCUCCAUGGAAUUCAUAAUAACUUUAGUAUAUAUAUUUAUUUCUUUCCCCAAAUAACCAAUUAUUUUAUCUUCGGAGCACCUAUAUAUUCAAUCCUGUCUUUUGUAAACAAGUGCGCCAAAUUUUUAAAAAUGUUUCAUAUUUAUCUCUUAAAUUAUAAGUAAUUUUUUUCAAGUGGAAUACAGCUGGAAAUUUCAUUCUUCCAACGAUCUAUACUUAAGUAUGAAUCUGAUUUCCAAGUAACUACAAUAGCCUUUUUGGCUACUGCCAGUGCAAUUUUUAUAAAUUCUUUCUGAUAUUUAUUCAAUUUGGGUUUCGGUUUUAUCCCUUCAAUAUCGCCGAAUAAAAAUAAUAUCGGGUUAUGUGGAAGUUGUGUUCCAAUAAUUUGUUCUCUUAAAUUUGUCCAAAAAGGUUGAAUUUUAGAACAAGACUAAGUAGAAUGUAAAAAAGUACCAAUUUCUUGGUUACAUCGGAAACAAUGAUCAGAUAAAUUUGGUUUUAAUUUAUUUAUUUUUUGUGGUGUAAUAUAUAAUUGAUGUAAAAAUUAUAUUGCACUAAUCUUAACCAGACAUUUAUUGUAUUUGUCACACUAUCAAGACAUAGUCUUGACCAAUUUGUUUCUUCCUUUUUAAUAUUCAAGUCAAUUUCCCAUUUUUGUCUUGACUUAUGGAUUCCUUGUUUAAUUGCCUGUUUUUGAAUCAAACUAUACAUAUAAGAAAUAUUUUUUUUAGUUUUUCCUUUUUGAAUUAAGUUUCUAUUUCAUUAGAUUUUGGCAAUAACAUUGUUUCACCCAAUUUUUCUCUUAAAUAAGCCCUUAAUUGGAACUAGCAAAAAAGUGUUGAUUGAUAUUUUAUUCUUUAUUCUUUAAUUGAUCAAAUGACAUUAAUAUACCUCCUUCAAAGCAAUCUCCUAUAUAUCUAAUCCCUUUCUGAAACCAAUUAUAUAAAAGUUGAUUACCAUUGUAAAAGGAAUAAGUCUAUUUUGAAUUAAAGAUCUCUUUGCUAAUAAAGAUUUCUUUAUCUCAUCAUCAACAUUUAUCUUAUUCCAGAAAUCAAUCAAAAGUUUUAAUACAGGAGAUUCUUUCUUUUCCCGUAUCCAUUUAGAUUCCCAUUUAUAUAUAAAAUCUUCUGGUGUAUUUUCUCCUAUUUUAUCUAGUUCUAUCCUAAUCCAUGCCAGUCUAUCUUUCUCAAAAAGAUGCAAUAAAUCUAAGUUGAUUUGCUUUAUAAUAAUCCUAAAAAUUUGGAAGUUGUAACCCUCCUAGAUCAAAUUUCCACGUCAAUUCUUGAUAUUCUUGACAUCGUACCUUUCCAAAGGAACUUCCUCACAUAUUUAUUUAACUCUUGAAAAAACUUCUGGGGUAGUUGUAUUGGUAGUGAUUGGAAUGAGUAUUGUAAUCUAGUGAAUAGGUUCAUUUUUAUGGUAUUUACUGUACCUACUAAUGUUAUUGGUAAUAUCAUCCAUUUAUCAAGAUCUUCUUGAUUUUUUUUCAAUAAUGGUAAAUAAUUUAAUUUAUAUAAGUUCUUUAUAUCAUUAUCAACUCUUAUACCUAAAUAUUUUAUACCAUUUAUCGGCCAACUAAAUUGAGUUAUUAAUCGACAUUGACUAUAAUCUCCUUUAGUAAGAGGUAAAAUUUCACUUUUAUCACAAUUUAGUUUGUAGCCUGAUAUUUUCCCAUACUCUUCUAAUCUAGAGGAUAAUUGAUGCAACGAGUACAAUGGGUUUGUUAAAUAAAACAGAACAUCAUCAGCAAAUAAGUUAAUCUUGUAUUCCUCCUGGCUACCUCUGAAACCCUUCUGGGUCCAUUCUAAUUAAUUCAGCUAAUGGUUCUAUCCCCAACACAAAUACAGCAGGUGAUAAUGGACAACCUUGCCUAGUUGACCUUGUUAACUGAAAUGGUCUUGAAAUUUGACCAUUUGUCACUACCUCAGCUUUGGGAUUAUUAUUUAAGGUUUUAAUCCAUUUUAUAAAGGAUACUCCUAAUCCAUAUCUUUCUAAUACCUUAAAUAAAAAAUCCCAUUCAAAUCUAACAAAUGCUUUUUCUGCAUCUAAAGCAACUGCCACACUCAUUUCCUCCCUCUUUUGAGCCAAAUGAAUUAUGCUAAAUAACUGAGUUACGUUAUCUGCUGAUUGUCUAUUUUUAAUAAAUCCUGUUUGAUCCAUGUGUAUUAAUUUUGGUAAGUAUUUAGAUAA